ensembl:snoRNA
UGCAAGAGUGAUGAGUUGCACCAGCUGUUGGAGCAGCUUUGCAGUGGCAGAGCAGCUUCAAUCAGAUUCCUGAUGACAAGCCCAUGUGCACAGGGGCCAUCUGACUUGCA